rnacentral:rRNA from 1 species
GAUGAACGCUGGCGGCGUGCCUAAUACAUGCAAGUCGAGCGAACGGACGAGAAGCUUGCUUCUCUGAUGUUAGCGGCGGACGGGUGAGAAACACGUGGAUAACCUACCUAUAAGACUGGGAUAACUUCGGGAAACCGGAGCUAGUACCGGAUAAUAUUUUGAACCGCAUGGUUCAAAAGUGAAAGACGGUCUUGCUGUCACUUAUAGAUGGAUCCGCGCUGCAUUAGCUAGUUGGUAAGGUAACGGCUUACCAAGGCAACGAUGCAUAGCCGACCUGAGAGGGUGAUCGGCCACACUGGAACUGAGACACGGUCCAGACUCCUACGGGAGGCAGCAGUAGGGAAUCUUCCGCAAUGGGCGAAAGCCUGACGGAGCAACGCCGCGUGAGUGAUGAAGGUCUUCGGAUCGUAAAACUCUGUUAUUAGGGAAGAACAUAUGUGUAAGUAACUGUGCACAUCUUGACGGUACCUAAUCAGAAAGCCACGGCUAACUACGUG